rnacentral:hammerhead_ribozyme from 1 species
AUUUAGCUGAAGAGUCCUAAAUAGAACGAAACACGUGUCCUAGAU